GGCCUUGAGUCAAGAAGGCCUCCUGGAGGAGGUGUAUCUACCCCAGCAGAGAUGUGAGUGGGACGAGGGCACGUCCCCCGGUGAUCCUGGAGGAAAUCCGCCCUGAAUGGGCAGAAGCCUCGCCACCUCCUCCAGACACUCCUCGAGCCUGCACCCAGCAGGCCCAGGAAGAAACCCUCUGAGAAGCAGACACACACCCAGGAACAGACUGUUUUCUGUGAGCCUCCCACCGGGCAGAAAAAGGAUGAUCUCAUUCGCCUUCUAAGAAGUCUUCCAAACCUCUGCCUCCACAUUUCCGACUUUUGUGCAAGUGUUUCUUGUCCCUGACUGCCAGAAAGUUCUCCUCGAUAUUUAACUUGAACCUUACUCUCGGUGGGGCAGACUUGGAGAAAGGUCGUUUAUUCAAAGUAUCCCAGCU